rnacentral:tRNA from 3 species
GCGAGGGUGGCGGAAUUGGUAGACGCGCACGGUUCAGGUCCGUGUGGCUUUCAGCCGUGGGGGUUCAAGUCCCUUUCCUCGCA